GUGUCAGCAGCCGCGGUAAUACGUAGGAGGCAAGCGUUAUCCGGAUUUACUGGGCGUAAAGCGCGUGCAGGUGGUUUGGUAAGUUGGAUGUGAAAUCUCCUGGCUCAACCGGGAGGGGUCGUUCAAAACUGCCAGACUCGAGGACGGUAGAGGAGAGUGGAAUUCCCGGUGUAGUGGUGAAAUGCGUAGAUAUCGGGAGGAACACCAGUGGCGAAAGCGGCUCUCUGGGCCGUUCCUGACACUCAGACGCGAAAGCGUGGGUAGCGAACGGGAUUAGAUACCCCCGUAGUCC
rnacentral:rRNA from 1 species